GAUGAACGCUGGCGGCGUGCCUAAUACAUGCAAGUCGAGCGAACAGACGAGGAGCUUGCUCCUCUGACGUUAGCGGCGGACGGGUGAGUAACACGUGGAUAACCUACCUAUAAGACUGGGAUAACUUCGGGAAACCGGCGCUAAUACCGGAUAAUAUCUUGAACCGCAUGGUUCAAUAGUGAAAGACGGUUUUGCUGUCACUUAUAGCUGGAUCCGCGCCGCAUUAGCUAGUUGGUAAGGUAACGGCUUACCAAGGCGACGAUGCGUAGCCGACCUGAGAGGGUGAUCGGCCACACUGGAACGGAGACACGGUCCAGACUCCUACGGGAGGCAGCAGUAGGGAAUCUUCCGCAAUGGGCGAAAGCCUGACGGAGCAACGCCGCGUGAGUGAUGAAGGUCUUCGGAUCGUAAAACUCUGUUAUUAGGGAAGAACAAAUGUGUAAGUAACUAUGCACGUCUUGACGGUACCUAAUCAGAAAGCCACGGCUAACUACGUG
rnacentral:rRNA from 1 species